AGCCCCUCAUUGUGCUCACUAAAAUUGGAAGAUACAGAAAAGAUUAGCAUGGCCCCUAUGCAAUGAUGACAUGCAAAUUCAUGAAGGAUUCCAUAUUUUU
ensembl:snRNA Gm25895 predicted gene, 25895